rnacentral:rRNA from 1 species
UGCCCUAGUAACGGCGAGUGAAGCGGCAACAGCUCAGAUUUGAAAUCUGGCGCCUCUGGCGUCCGAGUUGUAAUCUGUAGAGGAUGCUUUUGGGUAGCCACCGGUCUAAGUCCCCUGGAACGGGGCGUCACAGAGGGUGAGAAUCCCGUAUGUGACCGGAAGGGCACCCUCCACAUAGCUCCUUCGACGAGUCGAGUUGUUUGGGAAUGCAGCUCUAAAUGGGAGGUAAAUUCCUUCUAAAGCUAAAUACCGGCCAGAGACCGAUAGCGCACAAGUAGAGUGAUCGAAAGAUGAAAAGCACUUUGGAAAGAGAGUUAAAAAGCACGUGAAAUUGUUGAAAGGGAAGCGCUUGCAACCAGACUUGUUGGCGGUGUUCCGCCGGUCUUCUGACCGGUCUACUCACCGUCUGCAGGCCAGCAUCAUCUGGGGCCGCCGGAUAAAAGCGAGGGGAAUGUGGCUCCCCCGGGAGUGUUAUAGCCCCUCGUGCAAUACGGCGAGCCUCGGGUGAGGUCCGCGCUUCGGCUAGGAUGCUGGCGUAAUGGUCGUAAGCGGCCCGUCUUGA